rnacentral:rRNA from 1 species
ACCUACGGGUGGCUGCAGUCGAGAAUCUUCCGCAAUGGGCGAAAGCCUGACGGAGCGACGCCGCGUGAUUGAUGAAGUCCUUCGGGACGUAAAGAUCUUUUAUGCGUGAGAAAGUUAUUGAUAGUAGCGCAUGAAUAAGGGGCUCCUAACUCUGUGCCAGCAGGAGCGGUAAUACAGAGGCCCCGAGCAUUAUCCGGAAUCACUGGGCGUAAAGGGUGUGUAGGCGGCUUAGUUAGUCUUUUGUGAAAGAUCCCCGGCUUAACCGGGGAGACGCAGGGGAAACGGCUAGGCUUUGAGGGUAUGAGAGGUAAAGGGAACUCAUGGUGUAGGGGUGAAAUCCGUUGAUAUCAUGGGGAACACCAAAUGCGAAGGCACUUUACUGGCAUACUCCUGACGCUGAAACACGAAAGCGUGGGCAUCGAAUGGGAUUAGAUACCCUUGUAGUC